rnacentral:rRNA from 1 species
GAUGAACGCUGGCGGCGUGCCUAAUACAUGCAAGUCGAGCGAACGGACGAGAAGCUUGCUUCUCUGAUGUUAGCGGCGGACGGGUGAGUAACACGUGGAUAACCUACCUAUAAGACUGGGAUAACUUCGGGAAACCGGAGCUAAUACCGGAUAAUAUUUUGAACCGCAUGGUUCAAAAGUGAAAGACGGUCUUGCUGUCACUUAUAGAUGGAUCCGCGCUGCAUUAGCUAGUUGGUAAGGUAACGGCUUACCAAGGCAACGAUGCAUAGCCGACCUGAGAGGGUGAUCGGCCACACUGGAACUGAGACACGGUCCAGACUCCUACGGGAGGCAGCAGUAGGGAAUCUUCCGCAAUGGGCGAAAGCCUGACGGAGCAACGCCGCGUGAGUGAUGAAGGUCUUCGGAUCGUAAAACUCUGUUAUUAGGGAAGAACAUAUGUGUAAGUAACUGUGCACAUCUUGACGGUACCUAAUCAGAAAGCCACGGCUAACUACGUGCCAGCAGCCGCGGUAAUACGUAGGUGGCAAGCGUUAUCCGGAAUUAUUGGGCGUAAAGCGCGCGUAGGCGGUUUUUUAAGUCUGAUGUGAAAGCCCACGGCUCAACCGUGGAGGGUCAUUGGAAACUGGAAAACUUGAGUGCAGAAGAGGAAAGUGGAAUUCCAUGUGUAGCGGUGAAAUGCGCAGAGAUAUGGAGGAACACCAGUGGCGAAGGCGACUUUCUGGUCUGUAACUGACGCUGAUGUGCGAAAGCGUGGGGAUCAAACAGGAUUAGAUACCCUGGUAGUCCACGCCGUAAACGAUGAGUGCUAAGUGUUAGGGGGUUUCCGCCCCUUAGUGCUGCAGCUAACGCAUUAAGCACUCCGCCUGGGGAGUACGACCGCAAGGUUGAAACUCAAAGGAAUUGACGGGGACCCGCACAAGCGGUGGAGCAUGUGGUUUAAUUCGAAGCAACGCGAAGAACCUUACCAAAUCUUGACAUCCUUUGACAACUCUAGAGAUAGAGCCUUCCCCUUCGGGGGACAAAGUGACAGGUGGUGCAUGGUUGUCGUCAGCUCGUGUCGUGAGAUGUUGGGUUAAGUCCCGCAACGAGCGCAACCCUUAAGCUUAGUUGCCAUCAUUAAGAUGGGCACUCUAAGUUGACUGCCGGUGACAAACCGGAGGAAGGUGGGGAUGACGUCAAAUCAUCAUGCCCCUUAUGAUUUGGGCUACACACGUGCUACAAUGGACAAUACAAAGGGCAGCGAAACCGCGAGGUCAAGCAAAUCCCAUAAAGUUGUUCUCAGUUCGGAUUGUAGUCUGCAACUCGACUACAUGAAGCUGGAAUCGCUAGUAAUCGUAGAUCAGCAUGCUACGGUGAAUACGUUCCCGGGUCU